AACCUUAAACAUUGAGGGUAAUAAGGUUUCAUGAUAUAGAUAGUCAAAAAUUCCUUCAAUUAAUUGACAUUCAAGAUGGUCACCUAAGAAGAAAAAGGCUGAUUCGACUACAAAGUGGAAGGCAAGUAUUUUUCCAGUAGUUGGAGCAAAAGAUCAACCACUUCUAUCUUUAGUUGGUAAUGUCUUGCUUUCCCCUUUUUCUUCUAAUUGAUCUACUUCUAUUUAGUUAUUGUACCUAUUGGCGGAGUUUGUUUCACUGAGACACUAACAUAAACUAAACGUUACCAUAAACUUAAGAAUUUGGUUAGGUUUCUAAAGCAAUAGCAGGUAUCUUAGAUUAAUUGUUUCUACUCUCUUACCAAUUAGUUAAUAUUAGUCAAUUUUCUUUUGUGUUUUCUUUAACCUUUCCUUUUGGUUUUGUUUCUCUUUUGAAUUAUCCACAUAGACUAUUUUGUCUUGCCGUUCCUUCAAGGUAUUUUCCCCUAUUUUGUGCUUUUUGUUUGUCUGCUGGAAUUAACUCUUUUGGUCUAUUGGGAAUUGGGAUUAACUAUAUGGAGAAAGUGAAGGAAAAGAAAAGUGAUCUUAUUACAAUAAGGUUUGGAAAAUUCUGAUGAAAAUAGUCAUCUAAAAAUAAAUUCAUUAAGAGCGUACUGUAAGUUUAUAAAGAUUUAGUUCUUGCAGUUUUUAAAAAGAUGGAUGAGCAGUGUUGUUGAGUGGACUUUUCUACCAAAGGAAGAAACAGGUAAUUUGGAAUUAUGGAUGCAGGGGAAAGUACAAAAUGAAGAGAUCCAAAGCAACGGGAACUCAUUAUAUGUGCAGCUUGAUUUGGAUAUAUAGAUAACCAUGAAACUGGCUUGAGGUUUCUGCUUUAGUGAAGAAACCGGAAAAAAUCAUGUCUUAUCUUGUUUCUGAUGUGAAGCAACACGAUCAACAACAAUAUAUCUCUUUCUGAAAAUUCAUCUUUUUACAUGUAAUUCAUUCAAAUAUUUCACUUUCGACUUCAUCUUUACACUCUCCGUUUAUCAUUCGCUCUGCUAUAGACAUGAUGAUCUCAACUCAAUUGGAAUAACAUGUUCUCUCAGACAUAUGAGUUGGUAGAGGAGUGGAUGCAAACAAACUAUUAUGAUAUGAAGAGGAUGGUUGAACAUUAUUCUACUCUUCCAGUUAUCUAAGUCUCCAAGGGUUGUAAUGUUUCUUUUUCCACGAGAAGGCAGGGACGAAGCCACAUGGUCAUAAGGGUCUUCUUCGAAAAAUUACACUGUGUAUAUAGGUAAAAUAUUACGUUUUAGAGGUAUAUAACAUAUAUUGAACACCCUUUAUUGGGAAUUUUUUCCACUUCUUUCAAAUUUGAACACCCUUGGAGAAAUUCCUAGCUUCGCUCGCCACUGCGAGAAGGUAUUAACUUGGCAACUACUCUCCUCUUGGAAAUGGAAGUUCUAAUCUACUGAAGUACUAUUUUGUUUAGUUCCUGUACUCAGCUUUCAGGGACUUCUUGCAACUUGACUAAGUAGCUGCAUUUUCCAGAGAAUAAUGUAAUUCAGUUUCCAGUGAAUUUGUGUUAUUCAAAUUUCUAUUAAAAAGUUAGGCUUGUACAUGCUUUGUCCCGUGCAAAUAAUAAAUUCUGAAUUAAAAGCA